CCGGACGCCUCUGGCAGGACUAACCCCGGGGCUUUUAUGUCCAACGUGCUGUGCUGUGUGUGCCUGCAGCAUCCUGUCCAAGACAAAGCUACCUUUCUUUCCUCGUGGGAAUGGACUGGCCGGGCUUUGGCAAUCUGGCCCCUCGAAAGUCUUAAGUGACCUCUUCCAGCAGGGGAAGACUGAAGCAAGGGGUGCCAGAAAGAACUGGAGUUUCUGGAGAAUAAAAGCUGGAAGCGUGCCCCCGAAAAUCCCCCCGGGUGGUCAGUGGUCUGACUUGCACGGACCGGUGGCCUUGGCCAGGAGCGGUCCUGCGGGAAGUGCCUUUGCCCAGCCUGUAAUUUUAAUUUCCAUUGGUUGCUUGGCAAAGCCCCUUAGUGCCUGGCAGGAGCAGAGCGGGCUUCCAGGGAGGUAUUCAGCUGGUCAGCGUCAGGAACCAUCCUAACUGAGGCCUCGGCUUUCUCUUUCCCUUCGGUCUCUGUGGGUGUGCCGGACACCUCUGGCAGGACUAACCCUGUGGCUUUUAUGUCCAACGUGCUGUGCUGUGUGUGCCUGCAGAAUUGCCACGAGAGGAAAUACUUCAGAGGGGCUUCCCUCCAGCUAAGCCCUGAAUAUGCCAGGAGGUUUCAGCCGGGAGGAAAGGAGCUGUGGAAGAAAAGCAGCCUAAAAAUAGCCAGCGGGGAUCAUCAGGUUUUCCAGCCAAGAAGAACAAGGAGAGAGAUGAGGGAAUCGGGUUCCAAUUCCUAAUGAUUUGGUGGGUGCAGGAAUGAUUUCUGUGUGUUUUCCAGUCCCUUUUGAUUCCUGAGAUGAUUUUAAAAUGAUGGCUUUAGCAAUCAACUAAAUCGGAGAUGUUGUUUUUGAGAGGAAAUGAUGCCAAAUAAAUGCAGAGUUUUGGGUCAGUUUUUGG